GGGUCGUGACCCUCCAUGAAUAGAGGUAUUCUAAUAACAUCUGCAGGCUCUGGGGUCGUGCAGAGCCUGGAGAUGUUAUUAGAAUACCUCUAUUCAUGGAGGGUGGGCAGAGC
rnacentral:pre_miRNA from 1 species